rnacentral:lncRNA from 1 species
AGUGUGUAAUAAAGUGUUCAUUCAGCAGGCUUGGAGUGUUUAAACCCUAAACAUUCCAGAGGAAGACCUGGCCCUUAACCAGUGCCUGGGAGAGAAGCUCUUAGCAUGUCCUGCUUGAUAAGUGUGGCUUUGUGUACCCCAGGCCUCAGACCCUACCAGACAGUGUAUGCUAACAAUGCUAUUUGUGAAUGCCUGUUUUUGCUGUCCUGAGCUCCAGGCCACUCUGCAUUAAUUUGUCCUCUGAGGAUGUGAGGGAUAGAGACUGAGUAUCUACGGUCAGCUAUAUGGGCUCUCCACACCUACAGAACUGAUCCCCGAUAAAAUCCCUGGACACCAAGGCUUGGGAAUGAACAUCUGACCUAGACCUGGCCAAUCAGAACACUUAACCACUCUAGCCACAAGGAUUGGUUCAGGGAUGAACCAAUCAGAAUUCUUCCAGGGAAUGAGGGGGAAAAAAAACUCUCAUUCUUCACUAGGAUUGCUAAGUGGACUUGAAGAGACUUUGCCCUAGAGAUGACGAGAAGAAGUGGACCCCAGAUGCUGAUGUUUGGGUACAAGGAUGCACACUGAGACCUGAUGGAAGUAAAGCACUGUACUUCUCCAGUCUGCACACCAAAAGAUUAUCUUUUUUUAAACCUAAGACUCUUUAUGUUGGAUUUCUGUCUGUUGAAACCCAAAGAGUAUUGACUAAUAUAACACCGUCCAUAUUUAGAUGGUGAUUAAAGCCAUAGAAGCAGAUAAGAUCACUCAGGGCAAAUGUAUAGAGUGAAAAAAAAAAAAAAAAGUAGAUCUGGCAGAGAGUCCUGAGGAUCCCAGACUUUGCAAAUGCACAAAAAGGAGACUAAAAAUGGUGGGCCAGAGCUAUAGGAGGAGAGCCAGGAGAGAAAGGACAGCAGCUGAGGGAGAGACAGGAUCAAGGAAGGAAUUCUACUAUAAUUGAACAUAUCUAAUGCAGUAGGCUCUGUAUUGGUCAGGACUCUGGCUUACAAUGACAGAAACCUCAUUCAAAUGGACCGAAGGAACUGGAAUGACUCCGUCAUGUUAGAGGCUGGUACAGCAGAAUCCAGGCACCCCACCAUGUCUAUAGAAAUCCCCUCUUGCCAUGCUAAGCUCUGCUUUCAGGCAUUCUCUAAUCAGGUGCUGGCAAAGUGGUUAAAAGCAGCUUCAGUUUGGCACCCUCAGUGGAGGAGGAAUGACUCUUUACCAUGGGUCCUGCAAAGUCCAUGGACUGAGGAUGACUUGACCUAAAAAGUGGGAGGUGAGGUGGGUCCUCCCCUUUUGAGCCACACGGAUGUAGACUGAGAGUGGUCUCAUUCCCACUAGAACAGAAAGUACUGUUACUAGCUGUGAGACUGAAAAACAAAAGGGGGCAGGGAUUUAAAAACACUAUAGCCAUGGGAUUGACAGAACUUUACACCCACUGGCCCAUUAGAGGGCUGACAGAAGAAAAGAAGUCUAAGGUGGCUUUGAACUUUAUAGAUUGGCCAAGUGGAUGAGGGUGAAGCCAUAUACUGAGAAAUUUGCAGAGAAAAGAAAGUAAAGGCUAACAGCUUAAGAAUUCUGAUUCGACGUCCUUUGAGGAUACUUCCAACUUAACAUUUUGUAGUACUAGGGAUAAAUUAUUGGAGCCUCGAAGAACAAAGGGGAGUGGAAUAGCAUUUGAGUAGGUGACCAUUAAAAUUCAAGUGGCACAAAUGAGGUUGAGAUAUUCAAGGCACCACUAGCAUCCAGAGAAAUUUAUUGUAGUUGAAUUUGAAUAUUUACUUUUUUAUUUUUAUUUAUUUAUUUGAGACAGAGUCUCGCCCUGUCACCCAGGCGGGAGUGCAGUGGCACAAUCUCGGUUCACUGUAACCUCUGCCUCCUGGGUUCAACAAUUCCUGUGCCUCAGCCUACCGAGUAGCUGGGACUGCAGAUGCACACCAUCACCCCAAGCUAAUUUUUGUAUUUUUAGUAGAAACGGGGUUUCACCAUGUUGGCCAGGCUGGUCUUGAACUCCUGACCUCAAGUGAUCCUCCUGCUUCAGCCUCCCAAAGUGCUGGGACUACAGGCAUGAGCCACCACACCCAGCCGAAUUUGAAUAUUUAUGAUAUAUAUCUUCCAUUUAAGUGGUCACUGAACCUAAGAAUCGUGAUUCAAAACUGAAAGGAACCACAGGUCAUUAGUAUAGAACUGAUUUUUUAAAAUUAUUUUUAUUUUUAUGUUUUUCUUUUUUUUUCUUGAGUUGGGAUCUCUCUAGGUUGCCCACCCGGUCUUGAACUCCUGGGCUCAUGUGAUCCUCCCAUCUCAGCCUCUUGAGUAGCUGAGAUUACAGGUGCAUGCCACCAUGCCCAGCUCCAUUAGUAUAAGAUCGUGUGAAAAGAACAUGAGAGCUGUAUCUUGUUCAUUAAAUAAGGGGAGCCAGGGCCUUCACACGUCCCUGAGAAACUGGGCCAUGAGUGUCCAAGGCUAACAUAACUGGGAGACCUGCUCUUAGGCAACAUUUAAUCAAAUAUGGUGUUCACAUGCACAGGAGGGAGAGAAGUAAAAGCAGCAUUCUGCUUUGCUUUACUUUCAUCUUAUUCUAAAAAUGAUUUAAUAUAAGAAUACACCAAUAUGAAUGGAAAAGAGCUUGGUGGAAGGCCUAAUAUCAAGUGUAUUAAAAAUGUAUGACACACUGUAUAUUCUCAUAGGCACCCUAUUCGGGACCUCUACAGCUGAUAAAAUGACAUAAAAAUGUGAUUAAUAAUAUUGUAAAACCUGUUGAUUGGAAAAACUCAGGGACAUAUGACAGAUUGACCCGACUCUGAUUUAAGCCAAUAUCACUCAAAUAACCUUUCAGAUCCUGAGAAAGAAUAAUGUCUUGCUUGCAGGACAGAAUGCAACAUAAGAAAAUGCAGUUGUCUUCCGAGGUUUGCUUUCAUACAUUAAAUGCCCUCAGAACAUUUUAUAUCUGAAUCUUUAUGUCUAGAUUCCAAGCAUCUAGCCUGGAGCUGCUACUAUUUCAUUAAUCCUUCUAAAUCUGUCUUAUAAUUUUUGAUGCAAAAUAAAACAAUAGAAGAAAGGAAAUAAGCCAAGAUGCUAAUAGUGAAAAUUUUUAGGUGAUGAGUUUUAGUGAUUUUCAUUCAUUUUUCUUAAUGUUAUGGCAUUUUCCAAGUUUUCUAUAAAGAUAUGUGAUUUGGGAUAAAAGAAAAGCAAAGUCUACACAAAAAAAUUAAGAAGUUAAUUUUAAAAAGCAUCUUAAAAAUAAAAAUGUAAGUGUUUCUAUUAGCUCUAGAUUAAAAGGCCACUAAGAUUUAAGUGAAUCUAAUAAGCAACCAAUGCACCAGAAUGACUUGCAUAACCACCAUUGUCACUGUACAUUCCCAAGGCAUGUCAAGCUUCUAUUCUUUAUUUUGGUUCUUAUGCAUCUUAAAGGGGACUGUUCAUCUGCACAUCUCAACUACCCACCCUCUUUUGAUUAGAUGACUCUACCUUUAGAGUGAGCACCUUUUCUUUUUGCCUCCAAGUGUCUUUUCUUCUGUUACCCAUAUCCCAAAAUCCCUUUAAGAACCUGCCCUACAUCCCUUUAAGAACCAGAAAAUGAGCUUAUAAUAGAGUAAUUGUAAACACUAGGCUCUAAGAGUAGGCAUGUGACUCACUCCUGGCCAGUCAGAAGAUCAUAUUCCUUGGCUACAGGAAUUGGUUCAGGAAUAGGCAGGUGAUUAGUCUUAAUUAGCGAGAUACAGUAAGAUGAAAUAAAAAGCUCAUGCUCUUUUCUGCUGGACUUUAACCUGGGUAAGCGCAUGUCAAGAGCUUUUUGUUGUUGUUUUGCUGGCAUAUAAAACUGAAGAAUGAAACUGGCCUGGAGAAAGACUGUGCCCUCUUUAUGUUGUUUGAGCCCCUGGGUCAAGCCCGUCCUGAAGCUUUUCCUACUGUUGUAGGAGCCAAUAAAUUAUUUUUGUGCCUAUGUCAGUAUAAGUUUUUACCCCUUACAAUUGAAAUAGUUUCAACUGAUAGAACCUUUUCUCUAUUUAAUACCCUACUCAGGGUCAUUGUUACCAGAGGAUUUAUUUAAUUGUACUUGUGUCAGAGGCAUUUGAACAAGAGCAACUCCGUCUUGAAUAGGGGUUGGGAAAAUGAGGCUGAGACCUACUGGGCUACAUUCCCAGGAGGUUAGGUAUUCUUAGUCACAGGAUGAGACAGGAGGUUGGCACAAGAUCAUAAAGACCUUGCUGAUAAAAACAAGUUGCAGUAGUGAAGCUGGCCAAAUCCCACCAAAACCAAGAUGGCCACAAGAGUGACCUUUGGUCAUCCUCACUGCUCAUUAGCAUGCUAAAAGACACUCCCAUCAACACCAUGACAUUUUACAGAUGCCAUGGCAAUGUCCAGAAGUUACCCUACAUGGUCUAAAGAGAGGGGGAACUCUCAGCUCUGGGAAUUGCCCAUCCCUUUCCCAGAAAACUCGUGAAUAAUUCACCCCUUGUUUAGCAUAUAACCAAGAAAUAACUAUAAGUAUCCUUAGGAGGCCAGCAGCUCAAGCCACAGGUCUGCCUAUGGAGUAGCGAUUCUUCAUUCCUUUACUUCCUUAGCAAACUUGCUUUCACUUUAUAGACUCACCUCAAAUUCUUUCUUGUGCGAGAUCCAAGAACCCUCUCUUGAGGUCUGGAUUGGGACCCCUUUCCGGUAACACUUGGAAAAGAUCAACAGAGUUGUAUGGGCAGACUCUUGGAACUACUCCUUUUAAUUCAUAAUCUUUAGAGAUUUAUGUAACACUUUGCCUUUUAGAGCUUGAGGACCAAAUUUUGCACAAUGGACACAUAAGCACAACUAUUAAUGCUUAUAUUACAAAUAAAUUAAUUGUAAAGUUAACUAACAUAUACAAACAUUAAUACACACUAACACAUUUUUCAAAAUGCUUUGGAAAGUCCUAAGCAAUGUCUUAACAACAGUUCUUAAGUUUUGAGCAAUAUACUAAAACCUCAAACAAAGAUUCUCAAUCUUAAGUUCUCCUUCUACAGCAAUUGAAGGUUGAGGAAUUUUUGUAUGAAGAUACAAAAAUUUUAUCUAGUUUAAGCUCAGUUACUCCUUACUUAAGAGCACCCAGAUAUAAACAAGGACUACAGGAGAACUUCUAUCAUGGUUCACAGGAAAUGACAAUAAACCCACACACUAAUUCUGAGGUGACUCUGUGGUAGACAGAGAAGGUUUGAGGAAGAAGAGAAUGUAUGAGUUUUUUUUCUCCUUCCUCCAGAGGAGAGGGAUUCAGUGACACAUGGGAGAAAACUUGAAGGUGAAUGAAGUCAGAAAACAGCAAUGAAUGACCUUCUCCAUCAUUGCCAGAGAUGAUUAUUUCGGGCAGUGGGCAGUGGCCUGCCCUACAGUGCCAAUGUGCUUUACUUCCAUCUGUUAUAAAAUUGUCCUAAUAUAAUAAUUUUAUUUGAACAGGGUACUUUUUGUAACUUUCAGACAAAGGCAUGGAUAAAUAUACCAAUGGACUGUGUCUGCAAUAUGAACAUACCUCUUAGAUGUGAUACUCUUAUUCAGUGCACAUUCUACAUAACUCUACGUAGCAACCCUGUAGGCAAAGAUUAUGGUAAAAAUACCCACAUAGUGGACACCAGUCCACUUUGAAACAGUUCAAAUCUUUUCUGACCCAUCUCUCAUAUUUCUGCCACAGAGAAAUGCUUUCACCAAUAUUGGACAUGUUAGAUGUGCUCAUCCUCUCUUCCUCUGAUAACAAGUCACAAAAAUGACAAUGCCAGCUGGAGAAAGGAACCAACCAUAUUUUAAUACCUGUCAUAUGCUGGUAAAUAUACAUAUAUUCCCUCGGUU